rnacentral:rRNA from 1 species
CACUGGGACUGAGACACGGGCCCAGACUCCUACGGGAGGCAGCAGCUAAGAAUCUUCCGCAAUGGUCGAAAGGCUGACGGAGCGACGCCGCGUGGACGAAGAAGGCCGGAAGGUUGUAAAGUCCUUUUUUCCAGAGAAGAAUAACGUGUGGAGGGAAUGCCGCACAGAUGACGUUAUCUGAGGAAUAAGCCCCGGCUAAUUACGUGCCAGCAGCCGCGGUAACACGUAAGGGGCGAGCGUUGUUCGGAAUUAUUGGGCGUAAAGGGCGCGUAAGCGGCUAAGCAAGCCUGGUGUGAAAGGCCACAGCUUAACUGUGGGAGUGCGCUGGGAACUGCUUGGCUAGAGUUCAGGAGGGGAAUCUGGAAUUCCUGGUGUAGGGGUGAAAUCUGUAGAUAUCAGGAAGAACACCUGUGGCGAAGGCGAGAUUCUGGCCAUGAACUGACGCUGAGGCGCGAAAGCGUGGGGAGCGAACAGGAUUAGAUACCCUGGUAGUCCACGCUGUAAACGAUGUGCACUAGGUGUCGGCUGUUGUAACGGUCGGUGCCGAAGCAAACGCGAUAAGUGCACCGCCUGGGGAGUAUGCUCGCAAGGGUGAAACUCAAAGGAAUUGACGGGGGCCCGCACAAGCGGUGGAGCAUGUGGUUUAAUUCGAUGAUACGCGAGGAACCUUACCAGGGCUUGACAUAUGGUGGACUGCUGCAGAGAUGUAGCUUCCCUUCGGGGCUGCCAUACAGGUGCUGCAUGGUUGUCGUCAGCUCGUGCUGUGAGGUGUUGGGUUAAGUCCCGCAACGAGCGCAACCCCUGCUGUCUGUUGCCAGCAUUUCGGAUGGGGACUCAGACGGUACUGCCGGUGACAAACCGGAGGAAGGUGGGGAUGACGUCAAAUCAUCAUGGCCCUUAUGUCCUGGGCUACACACGUGCUACAAUGGCCGGUACAGAGCGUAGCGAAACCGCGAGGUGGAGCAAAUCGCAGAAAGCCGGUCUCAGUACGGAUUGGAGUCUGAAACCCGACUUCAUGAAGUUGGAAUCGCUAGUAAUCGCGCAUCAGCAUGGCGCGGUGAAUACGUUCCCGGGCCUUGUACACACCGCCCGUCACACCACCCGAGUUGGGGGUACCCGAAGUCGCUCGUCUAACCGGU